rnacentral:rRNA from 1 species
GUGCCAGCCGCCGCGGUAAUACGGAGAGGGCUAGCGUUGUUCGGAAUUACUGGGCGUAAAGGGCGUGUAGGCGGUCCGGCGGGUCAGAGGUGAAAGCCCGGGGCUCAACCCCGGAAUUGCCUUUGAAACUGUGGGACUAGAGUCCGGGAGAGGGUAGCGGAAUUCCCAGUGUAGAGGUGAAAUUCGUAGAUAUUGGGAAGAACACCAGUGGCGAAGGCGGCUACCUGGCCCGAGACUGACGCUUAGGCGCGAAAGCGUGGGGAGCGAAUAGGAUUAGAUACCCUGGUAGUCCACGCCGUAAACGAUGUGUGCUAGACGUUGGUGGGCUUGCCCAUCAGUGUCGCAGCUAACGCGUUAAGCACACCGCCUGGGGAGUACGGCCGCAAGGUUAAAACUUAAAGGAAUUGACGGGG